rnacentral:rRNA from 1 species
UACGUAGGGUGCAAGCGUUGUCCGGAAUUAUUGGGCGUAAAGAGCUCGUAGGCGGUUUGUCGCGUCUGCUGUGAAAACUCGGGGCUUAACUCCGGGCCUGCAGUGGGUACGGGCAGACUAGAGUGCGGUAGGGGAGACUGGAAUUCCUGGUGUAGCGGUGAAAUGCGCAGAUAUCAGGAGGAACACCUAUUGCGAAGGCAGCUCGCUGGGACGUAACUGACGCUGAGACGCGAAAGCCAGGGGAGCAAACGGG